rnacentral:ncRNA from 1 species
UAAGCAACACCGCCGGGUGUCAUUUAAAAAAGUACUCUUACCAAUUCCAUUAGGCCAAAGAAGGAAUUGCUAGGGGUACUUAUUUUUU